rnacentral:rRNA from 1 species
UACGUAGGUGGCAAGCGUUAUCCGGAAUUACUGGGUGUAAAGGGAGCGCAGGCGGGAUAGCAAGUCAGCGGUGAAAUGUAUGGGCUCAACCCAUGAACUGCCGUUGAAGCAGUUAUUCUUGAGUGGAGUAGAGGCAGGCGGAAUUCCGAGUGUAGCGGUGAAAUGCGUAGAUAUUCGGAGGAACACCAGUGGCGAAGGCGGCCUGCUGGGCUCUAACUGACGCUGAGGCUCGAAAGUGUGGGUAUCAAAC